UGGGGAAUUUUGGACAAUGGGGGCAACCCUGAUCCAGCCAUCCCGCGUGUGCGAUGAAGGCCUUCGGGUUGUAAAGCACUUUUGGCAGGGAAGAAACAGCCUGGGAUAAUACCCCGGGCGACUGACGGUACCUGCAGAAUAAGCACCGGCUAACUACGUGCCAGCAGCCGCGGUAAUACGUAGGGUGCAAGCGUUAAUCGGAAUUACUGGGCGUAAAGCGUGCGCAGGCGGUUCGGAAAGAAAGGUGUGAAAUCCAGGGCUUAACCUUGGAACUGCACUUUAACUACCGAGCUAGAGUACGUCAGAGGGGGGUAGAAUUCCACGUGUAGCAGUGAAAUGCGUAGAGAUGUGGAGGAAUACCGAUGGCGAAGGCAGCCCCCUGGGAUGAUACUGACGCUCAUGCACGAAAGCGUGGGGAGCAAACAGGAUUAGAUACCCUGGUAGUCCACGCCCUAAACGAUGUCAACUAGCUGUUGGGGUUUAUUAACCUUAGUAGCGCAGCUAACGCGUGAAGUUGACCGCCUGGGGA
rnacentral:rRNA from 1 species